rnacentral:lncRNA from 1 species
AUUAAUAGUAGUAGUAGUAGUAGUAGUAGUAGCAGAAAUGACAGUAGUAUUAUCAUAAUUCGUUUUUUAUAAAAGCGUAUAUACGUCGUGUUUAAACGCGCGCUGUUUAUUUCGUCCGUAUUCGUCUUACAUCGAACGUUCAUCACUAAAGCAAGAGAAACAUCAUCAUUUUCGUGGGACAAAGUGAUAAUUUUCUUCGACGUUAUCUCUCUUUCUCACUCUCUCUCUCUCUCUCUCUUUCUCUCUCUCUCUCUUUCUAUUUCUAUUUCUCUCUCUUUCUAUCAUUUUUUUACGAAUUUCGUGCUCAACCAAUUUUCUCUUCGUCAUCACCGUACGAAAAGAGGAUCCGAAUUUUGCUGUGGCAGGCACGUCGAUUUCAUUGGUACAAUUGGUGAUGCAUCUGCCUCGCGGCAAGGUCUUAGAAAUCUCCACGAGGAAUUCAACAAACUCGCUGCCCUCGAUAAUGCCUGUGUAACGACAUUCGUUCAGAAUACAACAGUCGGUGCUUAUCACACACACACACACUCACAUCCAAAAUCCGUAAGAUUCGAUAAUAUUCAUCUUGAAAGUCCCAGUACGUGUACGUGGUCGACGUAUUUUUUAGUAACUUGUCUCAUUUCGUGCAAAAGUAUUUUGGAUACUUGAGAGAGAACAAA